AGGGUUCUAUUCCGGAGAGGGAGCCUGAGAAACGGUACCCAACAUCCCAAGGAAGGCAGCAGGCGCGCAAAUUACCCAAUCCCGACAACGGGGAGGUAGUGACCAUAAAUACUGAUACAGGGCUCUUUUGGGUCUUGUCAAUUGGAAUGAGUACCAUUUAAAUCUCUUAACGAGGAACAAUUGGCCGGGCAAGUCUGGUGCCAGCAGCCGCGGUAAUUCCAGCUCCAAAUAGCGUAU
rnacentral:rRNA from 1 species